AUGAACUCCAGCAGCUCUCUUUUGCCUUCCUGCUCUCUGAGAUCAGGUGUCUUGGGCUUUGCAACCAGCUCUUCCUCUGAAACCAAGAGUUGGCUCAGCAAGCAGAGGCAGAUGAACAAGGGAACACAGAUACCCAUUGGGCCCAUCCCUGCUGGACACACACACACACACACACCCACACACACACACACACACACACCCACCCUCUUGUCCUCAGCCAGACACAGGGAGGGCUUUGCUGCUGCCAGAAUGGCAGGACAGGGGGACAGGGGCUGUGGGGGCCACCGGGAAAUGUGGCUGCUCCUAAACUCUUUCUCACAGCUCCAAACACAGUGCAGGGGAUGCUUUACACUUUGGUGCCUGGCACAGGGACAUAGGCUCCACUGGGGGAUGUUAGGAGUAUUACAAGGCUGCCCUAACACUACCCCUCACUGGAGGCACAGAGCUCUGCCAAUGCUGACCACUGGCCUCAUUAAUACCUGCUAAUUAGCACAUCAGGGUUUGGCUCUGGCCAGUGCCCUGUGGGAGGGUGUCCUGCACUUCCUGCAGCAGAGAGAGAGCCCCAGAGAUGGGAGGGAACCACAGCAAGAGAGACCCCUGAGCUCUCGGGUUAAUCCCAGCUCUGGCCAGGAUGGCGUGGGACAGUUGUGGAGGGAUUGUCACAGUUCCAGGGAUUGUCACAGUGCCACGUUCCUCCACCUGCCGUGGGCAGGGCUCUGACAGGGGGUUCAGGCUCCUCCUGGGUGGGAGGAUGCCCGUUCAUGCAGUCACACCACAGCAAGCAGCACGGACACGGUUGGCAGGGCAGGAUGGCAGGGCUGGCUCUGCAGAGCCCCGAGCAGCAGCGAGGCUCAGCAAUGGACAUGGCGUGCGGAUGGUCAGUGGCCAUGGGGUGAAAUGGGCCAUUGAGCUGGGGCAGGGGACACAUUUCAUACCCAUUACUGUGACAUGAGCAGUGCCUGCAAAGUAAGAAGAGGCAAAAGUGAGGUGUUGGUUGGGAGGGUGCAGGAGCAAACCAGCUGCAGCUGGGCUGGCAGCUGGGACCCUCCUUGCCUGAGCAAGGCACAGUGGGGGCUCUGCACGCCCAGGGGCUCUCUGCACGGUCCCUGGGCCAUGGGAUCACGGAGAUGUCCACACUUAUCCCUCCUGCACAGUGCAGGGAAGCACCCAAGGCAGGAGGUGCCACCUCAGGAGCCUGGUGGGCUUCCCUCAUCCUCUCUGCAAGACCCCAGCAGGGCCCACACAGCUCCCUGGCCUGGGGGUGUCCCUGUUCCAGCAGGAACACCAGUGCCAUCCCCUUGGCACUGACCCAGCAGCGUGGCAGAGCUUUGGGAUGGUGGGACCCAACUCCCACCCCUCACCUUCAUCCUCUGACACGUCCAGAAUCUCGUCUACAGUCUCUGGGAAGCUCAUGCGGUGUUUGUCACCAACAGACUGUGGGAGCAGAGAGAGCAGGGUCAGAGGAAGCCUAUAGUGACAAAACUCU
rnacentral:lncRNA from 1 species